GUAGGGAAUAUUGGGCAAUGGAUGCAAGUCUGACCCAGCCAUCCCGCGUGCCGGAAGAAGGCCCUCAGGGUUGUAAACGGCUUUUGACGGUGAAGAAUCGACAGGAUGCGUCCUGUUUUGACGGUAGCCGUUGAAUAAGCACCGGCUAACUCCGUGCCAGCAGCCGCGGUAAUACGGAGGGUGCGAGCGUUGUCCGGAUUUAUUGGGUUUAAAGGGUGCGUAGGCUGGAAGGUCAGUCAGCGGUGAAAAGCUGUCGCUUAACGAUAGUCUUGCCGCAGAUACUUCCUUUCUUGGAUGAGGAGGAGGCCACUGGAACGGAUGGUGUAGCGGUGAAAUGCAUAGAUAUCAUCCAGAACACCGAUUGCGCAGGCAGGUGGCUGUACCUUAAGCGACGCUGAUGCACGAAAACAUGGGGAGCAAACAGGAUUAGAAACCCCAGUAGUCC
rnacentral:rRNA from 1 species